GACGAAUGCUGGCGGCGUGCUUAACACAUGCAAGUCGAACGGAAAGGCCUGCUUUCCCUUGUGGAUUGCGGGUACUCGAGUGGCGAACGGGUGAGUAACACGUGAGUGAUCUGCCCCCAACUUGGGUAUAAGCCUGGGAAACUGGGUCUAAUUCCCGAUAGGACUGCAGGGUGGUGCCUGUGGUGGAAAACGAUUUUCUAGUGGUUGGGGAUGAGCUCGCGGCCUAUCAGCUUGUUGGUGGGGUAAUGGCCUACCAAGGCGGCGACGGGUAGCCGGCCUGAGAGGGUGGACGGCCACAUUGGGACUGAGAUACGGCCCAGACUCCUACGGGAGGCAGCAGUGGGGAAUAUUGCACAAUGGGCGGAAGCCUGAUGCAGCGACGCCGCGUGGGGGAUGACGGCCUUCGGGUUGUAAACUCCUUUCGACCGCGAGGAAGCCACCUGGUUGGAAGGGUGGUGACGGCAGUGGUAGAAGAAGCACCGGCUAACUACGUG
rnacentral:rRNA from 1 species